rnacentral:rRNA from 1 species
UACGUAGGGGGCAAGCGUUGUCCGGAAUCAUUGGGCGUAAAGCGCGCGUAGGCGGCUAGAUCAGUCUGCUGUAAAAGUCAAAGGCUCAACCUUUGAAAGCCGGUGGAUACUGUCUAGCUAGAGUCCGGAAGAGGCGAGUGGAAUUCCUGGUGUAGCGGUGGAAUGCGCAGAUAUCAGGAGGAACACCAACGGCGAAGGCAGCUCGCUGGGACGGUACUGACGCUAAGGCGCGAAAGCGUGGGGAGCGAUCCGG